rnacentral:lncRNA from 1 species
GAAGUAUAUGUAUUGGCAUAGAGCCAUAAACAAUGUAACAAGCACACUUAAAAAAAGUAGUAAUUAAAAUCACCGAACGAACAAAAUAAUAUUUUCUAAAAGUAUCGUGCCCAUUAUUCAGAACGUGUGAUCAAUCUAUUUGAAUUUUUCUUUUUUUUUUCUUUUUUUUUUUGAAUUGACCCGACCUUUAUUAGGCAAGUUAGCAAAUAAAUGAUCCAAAAGAAAAUUGGUCAAUUGUAAUGCAACUUUGCAAUGUUCGGCAUUAAAAAUAAUAAAACAUUGAUAUAUUUAAUUUCAUAAUGUGUUAUUGAUGAAGACCUACCAUAUAUUCC